CUGAGUACGGCGGAACACGUGAAAUUCCGUCGGAAUCCGGGAGGACCAUCUCCCAAGGCUAAAUACUCCCUAGUGACCGAUAGUGAACCAGUACCGUGAGGGAAAGGUGAAAAGCACCCCGGAAGGGGAGUGAAACAGUUCCUGAAACCGUGUGCCUACAAGUAGUUAGAGCCCGUUAAUGGGUGAUAGCGUGCCUUUUGUAGAAUGAACCGGCGAGUUACGAUUUGUUGCAAGGUUAAGCGGAAAAAGCGGAGCCGUAGCGAAAGCGAGUCUGAAUAGGGCGCAUAAGUAACAGGUCGUAGACCCGAAACCAGGUGAUCUACCCAUGUCCAGGAUGAAGGUAAGGUAAUACUUACUGGAGGUCCGAACCCACGCACGUUGAAAAGUGCGGGGAUGAGGUGUGGGUAGCGGAGAAAUUCCAAUCGAACUUGGAGAUAGCUGGUUCUCUCCGAAAUAGCUUUAGGGCUAGCCUCGAGGUAAAGAGUCAUGGAGGUAGAGCACUGUUUGGACUAGGGGCCCUUCUCGGGUUACCGAAUUCAGAUAAACUCCGAAUGCCAUGUACUUAUACUCGGGAGUCAGACUGCGAGUGAUAAGAUCCGUAGUCGAAAGGGAAACAGCCCAGACCACCAGUUAAGGUCCCCAAAUAUAUGUUAAGUGGAAAAGGAUGUGGGGUUGCUUAGACAACCAGGAUGUUGGCUUAGAAGCAGCCACCAUUGAAAGAGUGCGUAAUAGCUCACUGGUCGAGUGACCCCGCGCCGAAAAUGUACCGGGGCUAAACAUAUUACCGAAACUGUGGAUGAACCUCUUUAGAGGUUCGUGGUAGGAGAGCGUUCUAAGGGCGGUGAAGUCAGACCGGAAGGACUGGUGGAGCGCUUAGAAGUGAGAAUGCCGGUAUGAGUAGCGAAAGAAGGGUGAGAAUCCCUUCCACCGAAUAUCUAAGGUUUCCUGAGGAAGGCUCGUCCGCUCAGGGUUAGUCGGGACCUAAGCCGAGGCCGAUAGGCGUAGGCGAUGGACAACA
rnacentral:rRNA from 1 species